rnacentral:rRNA from 1 species
AUCUACCUUCGGGUCUGGGAUAACAUUCCGAAAGGGGUGCUAAUACCGGAUACGUCAGCGUUGCUGGGAAAGCUCCUGCGCCCGAAGAUGAGUCCGCGUCCCAUUAGGUAGUUGGUGAGGUAAGGGCUCACCAAGCCGAAGAUGGGUAGCUGGUCUGAGAGGAUGACCAGCCACACUGGGACUGAGACACGGCCCAGACUCCUACGGGAGGCAGCAGUGGGGAAUCUUGCGCAAUGGACGAAAGUCUGACGCAGCAACGCCUCGUGGGUGAUGAAGGCCUUCGGGUCGGAAAGCCCUGUCAGAAGGGAAGAUAAUGACGGUACCUUCAGAGGAAGCACCGGCUAACUCCGUGCCAGCAGCCGCGGUAAUACGGAGGGUGCAAACGUUGUUCGGAAUCAUUGGGCGUAAAGCGCGCGUACGCCGCGCCGUACGUCGGGUGUGAAAUCCCGGGGCUCAACCCCGGAACUGCGCUCGAAACCCCGGUGCACGAGUCUCGGAGGGAGAAGUGGAAUUCCUGGUGUAGGGGUGAAAUCCGUAGAUAUCAGGAGGAACACCUGCGGCGAAGGCGACUUCUUGGCCGAAGACUGACGCUGAGGUGCGAAAGUGUGGGGAGUGAACAGGAUUAGAUACCCUGGUAGUCCACACUGUAAAAGAUGCUCACUAGCUGGCGGGUGCAUGAACCCACGAGCUGGUGCAGUUAACGCGUUAAGUGAGCCGCUUGGGGAGUACGGUCGCAAGAUUAAAACUCAAUGGAAUUGUCGGGGGCGCGCACAAUCGGUGGAGCAUGUGGUUUAUUUCGAAGCAACGCGCAGAACCUUCCCUGGGUUUGACAUCCUCCGAGCAGACCAGAGAUGGACCGGUGCCCUUCGGGGAACGGAGUGACAGGUGGUGCAUGGCUGUAGUCAGCUCGUGUCGUGAGAUGUUGGGUUAAGUCCCGCAACGAGCGCAACCCUUGUCUUUAGUUGCCAGCGAUUCGUUGGGGGACUUUAAGAAGACUGCCGGUCUAAAACCGGAGAAAGGUGGGAAUGACGUCAAGUCCUCAUGUCCUUUAUAC